UGUGUGUUAGUGGAAGCGUCUGGAAAGGCGCGCGAUACAGGGUGACAGCCCCGUACACAAAAAUGCACAUGCUGUGAGCUCGAUGAGUAGGGCGGGACACGUGGUAUCCUGUCUGAAUAUGGGGGGACCAUCCUCCAAGGCUAAAUACUCCUGACUGACCGAUAGUGAACCAGUACCGUGAGGGAAAGGCGAAAAGAACCCCGGCGAGGGGAGUGAAAAAGAACCUGAAACCGUGUACGUACAAGCAGUGGGAGCACGCUUAGGCGUGUGACUGCGUACCUUUUGUAUAAUGGGUCAGCGACUUAUAUUCUGUAGCAAGGUUAACCGAAUAGGGGAGCCGAAGGGAAACCGAGUCUUAACUGGGCGUUAAGUUGCAGGGUAUAGACCCGAAACCCGGUGAUCUAGCCAUGGGCAGGUUGAAGGUUGGGUAACACUAACUGGAGGACCGAACCGACUAAUGUUGAAAAAUUAGCGGAUGACUUGUGGCUGGGGGUGAAAGGCCAAUCAAACCGGGAGAUAGCUGGUUCUCCCCGAAAGCUAUUUAGGUAGCGCCUCGUGAAUUCAUCUCCGGGGGUAGAGCACUGUUUCGGCAAGGGGGUCAUCCCGACUUACCAACCCGAUGCAAACUGCGAAUACCGGAGAAUGUUAUCACGGGAGACACACGGCGGGUGCUAACGUCCGUCGUGAAGAGGGAAACAACCCAGACCGCCAGCUAAGGUCCCAAAGUCAUGGUUAAGUGGGAAACGAUGUGGGAAGGCCCAGACAGCCAGGAUGUUGGCUUAGAAGCAGCCAUCAUUUAAAGAAAGCGUAAUAGCUCACUGGUCGAGUCGGCCUGCGCGGAAGAUGUAACGGGGCUAAACCAUGCACCGAAGCUGCGGCAGCGACGCUGAUGCGUUGUUGGGUAGGGGAGCGUUCUGUAAGCCUGCGAAGGUGUGCUGUGAGGCAUGCUGGAGGUAUCAGAAGUGCGAAUGCUGACAUAAGUAACGAUAAAGCGGGUGAAAAGCCCGCUCGCCGGAAGACCAAGGGUUCCUGUCCAACGUUAAUCGGGGCAGGGUGAGUCGACCCCUAAGGCGAGGCCGAAAGGCGUAGUCGAUGGGAAACAGGUUAAUAUUCCUGUACUUGGUGUUACUGCGAAGGGGGGACGGAGAAGGCUAUGUUGGCCGGGCGACGGUUGUCCCGGUUUAAGCGUGUAGGCUGGUUUUCCAGGCAAAUCCGGAAAAUCAAGGCUGAGGCGUGAUGACGAGGCACUACGGUGCUGAAGCAACAAAUGCCCUGCUUCCAGGAAAAGCCUCUAAGCAUCAGGUAACAUCAAAUCGUACCCCAAACCGACACAGGUGGUCAGGUAGAGAAUACCAAGGCGCUUGAGAGAACUCGGGUGAAGGAACUAGGCAAAAUGGUGCCGUAACUUCGGGAGAAGGCACGCUGAUAUGUAGGUGAAGUCCCUUGCGGAUGGAGCUGAAAUCAGUCGAAGAUACCAGCUGGCUGCAACUGUUUAUUAAAAACACAGCACUGUGCAAACACGAAAGUGGACGUAUACGGUGUGACGCCUGCCCGGUGCCGGAAGGUUAAUUGAUGGGGUCAGCGCAAGCGAAGCUCUUGAUCGAAGCCCCGGUAAACGGCGGCCGUAACUAUAACGGUCCUAAGGUAGCGAAAUUCCUUGUCGGGUAAGUUCCGACCUGCACGAAUGGCGUAAUGAUGGCCAGGCUGUCUCCACCCGAGACUCAGUGAAAUUGAACUCGCUGUGAAGAUGCAGUGUACCCGCGGCAAGACGGAAAGACCCCGUGAACCUUUACUAUAGCUUGACACUGAACAUUGAGCCUUGAUGUGUAGGAUAGGUGGGAGGCUUUGAAGUGUGGACGCCAGUCUGCAUGGAGCCGACCUUGAAAUACCACCCUUUAAUGUUUGAUGUUCUAACGUGGACCCGU
rnacentral:rRNA from 1 species